UACGAAGGGGGCUAGCGUUGCUCGGAAUCACUGGGCGUAAAGCGCACGUAGGCGGCUUUUUAAGUCAGGGGUGAAAUCCUGGAGCUCAACUCCAGAACUGCCUUUGAUACUGGCGAUCUUGAGUCCGGGAGAGGUGAGUGGAACUGCGAGUGUAGAGGUGAAAUUCGUAGAUAUUCGCAAGAACACCAGUGGCGAAGGCGGCUCACUGGUCCGGUACUGACGCUGAGGUGCGAAAGCGUGGGGAGCAAACAGG
rnacentral:rRNA from 1 species